GAUAGACAUGGCAGAGUAGAUACAAGAUCAUGGUGAAUUUGGUAAAAAAAAAAAUGGUUAACGAUGGGGGCAACUUCCGAUGGAAAAUCACUUCUCACGUGACACUCGUUGGCAUGCUUUUCUCACCGAAACAAUCGUAUUGACUUACGCAUCAAAAGAUAAUAAUGGGAUACCUAUAUAUCAGGAACACGUGCGGGUGGGAAAAAACGAAAACUAGUUUCGAUCGACGAUGAGUACCUAUACAAUUUAAUAUUCAAUUAUACUGUUUAAACAGUCCAAAUUUUUCGAGUUGUGUGGACAGUCAUUAAAAAAUUUUGUUGAAGUGAAAUACGCAACGUGAUGAAAUUCCAAGUAUUGAUACUUAUUCUCCACUUAUCAGUGGCAGUUCUAUUAUCAAUUUUACCAACAACCAUCACCAGCUCACCAGUGGAAGAGAGAGAUGAUCUGAGAAGUGAAAUUUCAAAUAAAUACUUGGUUGAAAAUCACCGACCCACGUGCUGCUUCAGAAAUCCAAAAUGUCGAAGGCGAUGCGUGGGAUAAAGAUUUGAAAAGAGCAGGAAAAUAAUCAAAAAAAUUAAUAGCUUAAUUUUUCAAUUUUUUUUAUAAAUUAGCGAUAGAUAUUAUUAUUAAAUUUCAAUAUAUGUACGUUCAACGUUCAUUUUUGUCUUCAGUAUCACCACAUCACUACAAUAUUGAUUUAAGUAGGCAGACCUGAUUUUAAACAUUUCUAUGGUUAAGCAGUUAAGCACAUGUACCUAAUCCUUUAUUCCUUGUUUCAUUAUAGGUACCUAGUUUUCAAGUACCUACUUAAAUAUACCUUUAUAUCUGUAUCUUAUUAUGAAAAUAAACUGACCAAAAAUCA